rnacentral:rRNA from 1 species
AGUGAACGCUGGCGGUAGGCCUAACACAUGCAAGUCGAACGGCAGCACAGGAGAGCUUGCUCUCUGGGUGGCGAGUGGCGGACGGGUGAGGAAUACAUCGGAAUCUACUCUGUCGUGGGGGAUAACGUAGGGAAACUUACGCUAAUACCGCAUACGACCUACGGGUGAAAGCAGGGGACCUUCGGGCCUUGCGCGAUUGAAUGAGCCGAUGUCGGAUUAGCUAGUUGGCGGGGUAAAGGCCCACCAAGGCGACGAUCCGUAGCUGGUCUGAGAGGAUGACCAGCCACACUGGAACUGAGACACGGUCCAGCCUCCUACGGGAGGCAGCAGUGGGGAAUAUUGGACAAUGGGCGCAAGCCUGAUCCAGCCAUACCGCGUGGGUGAAGAAGGCCUUCGGGUUGUAAAGCCCUUUUGUUGGGAAAGAAAUCCAGCUGGCUAAUACCCGGUUGGGAUGACGGUACCCAAAGAAUAAGCACCGGCUAACUUCGUGCCAGCCGCCGCGGUAA